rnacentral:rRNA from 1 species
GCUUACGGCCACACCUCCCUGAGCACCCCGAUCUCGUCUGAUCUCGGAAGCUAAGCAGGUCGGGCCCGGUUAGUACUUGGAUGGGAGACCGCCUGGGAAUACCAUGCUGUAAGCC